UACGUAGGGGGCAAGCGUUGUCCGGAAUCAUUGGGCGUAAAGGGCGCGUAGGCGGCCUGUUAAGUCGAACGUGAAAUCCCCGGGCUCAACCCGGGAACUGCGUCCGAUACUGGCAGGCUUGAAUCCGGGAGAGGGAUGUGGAAUUCCAGGUGUAGCGGUGAAAUGCGUAGAUAUCUGGAGGAACACCGGUGGCGAAGGCGGCAUCCUGGACCGGUAUUGACGCUGAGGCGCGAAAGCCAGGGGAGCAAACGGG
rnacentral:rRNA from 1 species